AUGAAAGCAAGCUUGUCAGGUGGUCAUUUCAGGUUGAUUAACGAGAAGCUCUACACUUGCACGUAUGUACUAUUAUUCACUUUUUCACUCAGUUUGUCUUUUUUAAGUUUUUGAGUUGUGCAUGGUAGUAAUUUUAGCCUGUGAUGCAAGGAAACACCAAUGAAGCAAGGUGUACAAGGCAUGUCAUACUUUUAUUUGUAGUUGUUUGAAUAUUGAUGGCAGGAGAGCUGCACAUCAAGAAGUACAUUUUUUUGGCGGUUUUUUUGUUUUCCCUUAGAACUUGCUUGUUGUUGAUUUGCUUCAUGCCUUGAGGAUUUGACCAUUGUAGCCUGUAUUGGGAAUUCUAAAUGGUUCUUAUUGCUCGAAUUCGGCACCCGUACAUUGUGGAAUGCAAAGAGGCUUGGGUUGAGAAGGGUUGCUUUGUCUGCAUUGUUACUGGAUACUGUGAAGGUGGAGACAUGGCUGCAUUGAUGAAAAAAUCAAAUGGGGGUAUACUUUUCGGAGGAGAAACUCUGCAAGUGGUUUGCACAAUUACUCUUAGCGGUGAAAUAUCUAGAUUCAAAUUAUGUAUUACAUCGUGACUUAAAGGUAAAAUACUUGUUGGAAACAAACAGUGCAUCCUUCAAUGUUUUGAUCUUUCAAUUUGAAAAUCUAGUGCUCAAAUUCAAUUUUAUUUCUUUUAAUAUAAUUUUAAAGCUUGGUCAUUCUAUCAUGUCCUUUCUGAUUGCUGCAUUUUCUUUUUUAUAAAUAGCUUGCAAUAAUAUAUAUACACAAUCAUUGUUCUAGUCUCAAAAUUAAAGAUGAUGAGGUUUGUCUUUGAAGCGAUUCCUUAUCAUGUUUCUCAUAAUCCCCAAUUGGCUAUAGUCAUUCUUGUUAUUAUUUCAUGUUGUGUCAAAGGUAUAAGCUGUGAAUAACAGAAUCUAGGAAAGAAGAAUGAAAUUAUCCCAGCCAUCUUUGUGUUUGGGGACUCCAUAGUGGACACAGGUAACAACAACUUCAUCAAAACUAUUGCCAAAUGCAAUUUCCCACCAUAUGGUAGAGACUUUGCUGCUGGAGGAUAUAAACCUAAUGGGAGGUUCAGCAAUGGUUUAGUCCCUUCAGAUUUCAUUGGGUGCAAUGUCACUAUCAGAUCAAUUAGAUAAAUUGGGGGAGUACCAAAAGAAGAUACGGGAAGCAGUUGGAGAAAACAGAGCAGAAAAGAAAAUGCCAGGCACAGUUAUUACAAAGUAUGUUGUUGCUAAUGAACCUGGUGGUAGAAAGAGGGAGGAGAUUUUUGUUGACGUAAUUGGAAAAAUAAGUGUCACAUUCAACUCUAGCGGAUAUAUACUUACUAGUGAGAUAGACGGCACCAUUCAAAUGAAGAGUUACCUUACGGGUAACCCAGAGAUUCGGCUUGCUCUCAAUGAUGACCUGAGUAUAGGAAGAAGUGAUUAUGCAAGUUCCACUGCAGUGAUUCUAGACGAUUGUAACUUCCAUGAGUCUAUACACCUUGAUAGUUUUGAUACUGACUGAACCUUGUCAUUGGUUCCACCAGACGGGAAAUUCCCAGUCAUGAAUUAUCAAAUAACUCAACCGUUUAAGCCUCCAUUUCGUAUUAAUGCAUUGCUUAAAGAAACAGGACCCCUGAAAGUGAUUGUGCUCUCCAGUUGAUUUUUCAAGUUCUUCAUAUGUUUCUAGCAAAGACACUAAAAGCAGAUGAUUUGGCAUCUUCGGUGGUAGGAACUCCCAACUACAUGUGUCCUGAACUGCUUGCAGAUAUUCUUUACGAAUUCAAAUAUGAUAUUUGGUCAUUAGGGUGUUAUGUAUAUGAAAUGGCUGCUCAUCGCUUUGCAUUUAAAGCUUUUGUAAGAUCUUCUCUGAUUCUUGAAUUUAGAAUAAUAUAUAUGUAUACUCAUAUUUGAAUUCAUUUAAUGCAUGAUCUUCAAGUUAGGAGUGAACAAAAUAUCUCAUAUCUGACUUAAGGAUAUUAGACAAGUGUUUUCUUAAACUUUCUCAUAGCUAGGGGUCAGUAUUACUAGAUCAAAACAUCAAGUUACAAUAAGAAAUUGUAGAAUUAAAGAGCUCACGGUAUGAAGCAGUAAGAGAGAGAUUCUUAACUUCUACAAUAGAGUUUAUGAAUUCUUUUUGAAUUCUUUGAGCCAGAGAUGUUAUAAAUGAACAGUAAACACGGAUAAAUCUUAGAAUUACAAAAAUAUAAGCUGCCAAUGACAUAUGAAGCAGAAAACAAAAAUAAACACGAAAUUGAGCUUUGCUUUUUCUCCUUUAUUUAACGGUUCUAGAAAGAAGCAGGAGCUGAUUCUGAUUUGAGGAGUGAAGUUAGAAGGAAAGUUAAAUCUAGGGCUGCAACAUUUUGGGAGACAAAGGUUUGAUUGGUUGGAUUAGGUUUGAGAUUUAUAGCUAUUAUACAUUUCUAAAGUUGUUUUGGCAUGGAUGAAUUUAGAUUUUU